rnacentral:rRNA from 1 species
GACGUAGGGCGCGAGCGUUGUCCGGAUUUAUUGGGCGUAAAGAGCUCGUAGGCGGCUUGUCGCGUCGACUGUGAAAUCCCGCGGCUCAACUGCGGGUCUGCAGUCGAUACGGGCAGGCUAGAGUUCGGUAGGGGAGACUGGAAUUCCUGGUGUAGCGGUGAAAUGUGCAGAUAUCAGGAGGAACACCAGUGGCGAAGGCGGCUCACUGGUCCGGUACUGACGCUGAGGUGCGAAAGCGUGGGGAGCAAACAGG